CCUACGGGCGGCAGCAGUGAGGAAUAUUGGUCAAUGGACGAGAGUCUGAACCAGCCAAGUAGCGUGAAGGAUGACUGCCCUAUGGGUUGUAAACUUCUUUUAUAUGGGAAUAAAAUGUUCCACGUGUGGGAUUUUGUAUGUACCAUAUGAAUAAGGAUCGGCUAACUCCGUGCCAGCAGCCGCGGUAAUACGGAGGAUCCGAGCGUUAUCCGGAUUUAUUGGGUUUAACGGGAGCGUAGGUGGAUGGUUAAGUCAGUUGUGAAAGUUUGCGGCUCAACCGUAAAAUUGCAGUUGAAACUGGCAGUCUUGAGUACAGUAGAGGUGGGCGGAAUUCGUGGUGUAGCGGUGAAAUGCGUAGAUAUCACGAAGAACUCCGAUUGCGAAGGCAGUUCACUGGACUGCAACUGACACUGAGGCUCGAAAGUGUGGGUAUCAAACAGGAUUAGAUACCCGAGUAGUC
rnacentral:rRNA from 1 species